CUGGUGAGGACUUGUUUCUUCCAGAGGCAGGGCAGUCUGCAAAACACUCGUCCAUUCAGCUCCCCGAGAGGCCCUGGAUGCAAGGUACUGGGAAGACAAAUGGAGCUGUGCUUUCUGUGCGGUAACAAAAUGCCUGAGGCAGUCAGCUCAGAAAGAGAAAGGGUUGGCUGUGGCUCCCGGCUGCUCAUCAAGGAGGCUGUGGCUGCUUUCUUGUUCUCAUGCCCACACUUGGGCUGGGAAUGUCAGGGCUCGCGAUGCCAGCGCAGGGAGGCACACAAUGCUUGCCAAAGCAAAGACGAAUAGAAAGGACCGCAGUCAGACCUGGACAUGCUGAGUGUCCUUAGAGAAGGGGUGAGUCUGGAAAACAAGCCCAGGUGCUGCUGUGCAGGACCUGACUUCUGAGGGGUAGGGGUAGAGCCUGGGUGGUUCUUUGGGUGCACAGAUAGGAUGACCAGCAUCCUCUUUGACAGUUUGGCCUGUAUUUCCAGAGCUUGGGAGGCCGAGGCAGGAGGGUCACUUUGAGUUUGAGGCCAGCCUGAGCUGCAUAGUGAGACCUUGUCUCAAAGAGAAAAAAACAAACCACAAAACCCCAACUCCUUCUGCCUCGGUCGGUCCCAGUGGAUGCCGGUUGUAAACACGAGGAGCCCUUUCUGCAUGUGCCUCCAUGGCACGAGACAGUCCUCGAUCGCCCCAAAUCUACAACAGAACUGACGUGGAGAGAGGAGGCUCGCUGGGUGCCGAGAAGCGCAGGAGACAGUGUUAGAUCAGCUGCUGCUCUCCUGAGGGCCCUUUCGGUGAGUUCCCUCUAUCAGAGGCAAGGGAAGCGUUGCUUUAUUAACCCGCCCCAGCGUCCGGCCAGGGAGCACCGCGGGGGACACAGACAAGCCUGGGAACAGGAGUUUCACUCCAUGCUGCCUUCCAAAGAGCCCUGUUGAUACCACCAAGGCCCAAUGGAGAAUCAGGGUCACCCGAUCCCUGCUACUUCCGGUUCAAAAGCUCUGCGGUUAGCUCGCUGUGAGUUCGAGGCCAGCCUGAAUUAUGGAGUGAGAUCCCGUCUCAAGAACACCGAACAAAAACAGACAAACAGACGUCUUGUGGGAACUGUCUCAGAUUUGAUGAAGUUGUUUUCUCCUGGUGGACCUCAGAUGCAACAAGAAAGUGUCUCUGGCGUCAAAGGGCCGAUGCCGGCUUUGCAUUGAGCAACAGUGCAAGAAACACCCAAGCCAGAAACAGGAAGCCGAGUGAGAUGGGCCAGAUCAAGCUGUGUCGGCGCUAACUACGGAGUCAUGGCGGAGGGUGACUGGGGGACCCCGGCCCCACGGUGUCCCCAGCAUUUCGACAAAUCCUUCGGGGCCUUCGGGACACGGCCACAGGGAGAGGCUGCGGGGCGGGACACCAUCUUCCGGUUCCCAUUUCCUCAUCUGUGAAAAGGGCUGAGGAACCUUCACCAAGGGGCGGUGCUGGGGACUAACGGGAAGACCAGCCCAGCACAGCGGCACACACCUGCCAUUCCUGCACUGUGGGAGGCUGAGGCAGGCUGAUUGCAUUUUGAGACCAGACCGGGCAACUCCGCAGUGGAGUGAGACCCUGAAUCACUGUGAAAAAUGAAAAGGGUGGGGACGCGGCUCAGUGAAGGCCUGAUUUCAAUCGAAAAAGACCCUGUCAGGGCUGGCUGCAUCCGAGACCCUCCCGUCCUCCUAGCGCGCUGAACGCCGGCUGUGCGCUCAGAGGUUUCCCCGUGGAGCAGACACAAGGACGUCGCCAAACUCUGCUCCGCCUUCCAGUUCAACUGCACCUGGUCUGCGCCCGC
ensembl:lincRNA